AGCAUAAUUGCUGGGUCAUAUGGUAAUUGUAUGUUUCAUUUUCUAAGAAACAGCCAAAUUGUUUUCCAGAGUGGCUAUAUCAUUUUAUAUUCCCAACAGCAAU
rnacentral:pre_miRNA from 1 species